rnacentral:rRNA from 1 species
CCUACGGGUGGCAGCAGUGAGGAAUAUUGGUCAAUGGGCGGAAGCCUGAACCAGCCAAGUCGCGUGCAGGAUGACGGCCCUACGAGUUGUAAACUGCUUUUGUACCGGGGUAAAAUGCCCUACGUGUAGGGUUUUGCAUGUACCGUAUGAAUAAGGAUCGGCUAACUCCGUGCCAGCAGCCGCGGUAAUACGGAGGGUCCGAGCGUUAUCCGGAUUUAUUGGGUUUAAAGGGAGCGUAGGCUGGUUGUCAAGUUAGCGGUGAAAUGUCGAGGCUCAACCCGGGACUUGCCGCGAGUACUGGCGGGCUAGAGACCGCGGGAAGCAGGCGGAAUGUGUAGUGUAGCGGUGAAAUGCAUAGAUAUUACGAAGAACCCCGAUUGCGAAGGCAGCUUGCU